GAGGUUGUGGCUCAGUGAUAGAGCGCUCGCCUCGCACGUGCAAGACCCUGGAUUCAAUCCUCAGCAACUCA
rnacentral:tRNA from 1 species